rnacentral:misc_RNA from 1 species
CUUGUGAAGUUGAUGGAGAAGUGCGCGCCGAGGGAGAUGUGUGGCAGAAGCCCCUCGGUUCUUCUGAGUGGGGAUGUCAAUUGGAAUGUUCAUGUUGUGAAGGACUAGAACACUGUGCUUUGUGCCUGCCGCCACCUUUCCUGGACGAGAAUCCUGGAUGCUAUUACAUACCAGACAACAGCAAACCGUCACCACCUGCCCCGUGUGCAGGACGGGGCAGUUAUGGUCCACCUCCAAUGUUACUGGGCCUUACUCCGCCGUGCUGUCCCACUAAGGACACGGCUAGUCGCAUCUGCAGAACAGACGCCUCCUUUGAUCCGGAGAAAUACGCACAGUACCUGCUUUUCUGGAUGGCACCAGACUCAGCCGCAGAAAUGCCGGACAGCAGUGAUCCCAACUAUCUGCAGGAGCUGGAGGCCCACUUUUGGAAUCAAGUGGGACCGGAGGGGCCGAAGGGGCCUUUGGGACCGGAGAAGCCGAAGGGCCCGUGGAAAGAAACAGAUGAUGCAUAAAUAUAUUCCAGCGCGCUAUGAGGCAUACACGCUGCUCUAUCUAAGACCGAAGCCUAAUCACAAACAAUUGUUAUUAAUUACUACUCAACAAAUGCCGUUUCAAUUUGCAAGAGGACUAUUUCAAAUAGUCUAUAAGAAAAAUUGAUGUUUGGACUAAUGUUAUGGCUUGUUUUGUUUCUGGCAACGAGCCCCUGCUAUCCAAGUUGUAGAACAAAUAAAGUUUAAUGCGUACAUCAGACGUGUACGAACACAACCAUGCA